rnacentral:rRNA from 1 species
UACAGAGGGUGCGAGCGUUAAUCGGAAUUACUGGGCGUAAAGCGUGCGCAGGCGGCUCCUUAAGUCAGAUGUGAAAGCCCCGGGCUUAACCUGGGAACUGCGUUUGAAACUGGGGAGCUGGAGUGUAGAAGAGGGGGGUGGAAUUCCAGGUGUAGCAGUGAAAUGCGUAGAUAUCUGGAGGAACACCGAUGGCGAAGGCAGCCCCCUGGGCUAACACUGACGCUCAUGCACGAAAGCGUGGGGAGCAAACAGG